CGGUAAUUCCAGCUCCAAUAGCGUAUACUAAAGUUGUUGCAGUUAAAAAGCUCGUAGUUGGAUUUCUGCGGGGACGGAGCGGCCGGUCGCAACUUGCGACUCGAGCUAGCGCUUUCCCCGCAUCCUGCCGCGAACCGUGCUACCAUUAGUUUGGUGGCGCUGGGGAUCGGCUCGAUUACUUUGAGAAAAAUAGAGUGCUCAAAGCAGGUCACACGCCUUGAAUAAGUUAGCAUGGAAUAAUGACUAAGGACUUUGGUUCUUUUCGUUGGUGUUCGGGACUGAAGUAAUGAUUGAUAGGGACAGUUGGGGCGGUCCGUAUUCCAAAGCGAGAGGUGAAAUUCUUAGACCUUCGGAAGACGAACAGCUGCGAAAGCGUUCCGCAAGGAUGUUCCCUUUGAUCAAGAACGAAAGUUGGGGGAUCGAAGACGAUCAGAUACCGUCGUAGUCUCAACUAUAAACUAUACCAGCUAGGGAUCGGCCAACGUUUAAUUUAUCGACUUGGUCGGCACCUUAUGAGAAAUCAAAGCAUCUGGGUUCCGGGGGGAGUAUGGUCGCAAGGCUGAAACUUAAAGGAAUUGACGGAAGGGCACCACCAGCCGUGGAGCCUGUGGCUUAAUUUGACUCAACACGGGAAAACUUACCAGGUCCAGACAUAGGAAGGAUUGACAGAUUGAUAGCUCUUUCUUGAUUCUGUGGGUGGUGGUGCAUGGCCGUUUUUAGUCGGUGGAUGUGAUCUGUCUGCUUAAUUGCGUUAACGGACGAGACCCCAGCCUGCUAAAUAGCGCGGCCGAGCUAUGCUCGGUGCGAGCUUCUUAGAGGGACCAUGAUGCGCGAUAGCACAAGGAAGUUUGGGGCAACAACAGGUCUGUGAUGCCCUUAGAUGUUCUGGUCCGCACACGGGCUACACUGGCGCCUGCAACGAGCAUAUCAGCUGGCCCGAGAGGGUCUUGGCUAAUCUUUGGAACCGGCGCCGUGCUUGGGAUUGACCAUUGCAAUUGUUGGUCAUGCAACGAGGAAUGCCUUGUAAACGCGAGUCAUCAGCUCGCAUUGAAUACGUCCCUGCCCUUUGUACACACCGCCCGUCGCUCCUACCGAUGAAUGUUCCGAUGAAAUUUUCGGAGAGCACCAGAGAACGGGGCUCCGCCUUGCAGAUCUGGAGGCUCAAAGUCACUUAAAUCUGAACAUUUCGAGGAAGGAGAAGUCGUAACAAGGUAACC
rnacentral:rRNA from 1 species